GAUGAACGCUGGCGGCGUGCCUAAUACAUGCAAGUCGAGCGAACGGACGAGAAGCUUGCUCCUCUGAUGUUAGCGGCGGACGGGUGAGUAACACGUGGAUAACCUACCUAUAAGACUGGGAUAACUUCGGGAAACCGUAGCUAAUACCGGAUAAUAUUUUGAACCGCAUGGUUCAAAAGUGAAAGACGGUCUUGCUGUCACUUAUAGAUGGAUCCGCGCUGCGUUAGCUAGUUGGUAAGGUAACGGCUUACCAAGGCAACGAUGCAUAGCCGACCUGAGAGGGUGAUCGGCCACACUGGAACUGAGACACGGUCCAGACUCCUACGGGAGGCAGCAGUAGGGAAUCUUCCGCAAAGGGCGAAAGCCUGACGGAGCAACGCCGCGUGAGUGAUGAAGGUCUUCGGAUCGUAAAACUCUGUUAUUAGGGAAGAACAUAUGUGUAAGUAACUGUGCACAUCUUGACGGUUCCUAAUCAGAAAGCCACGGCUAACUACGUG
rnacentral:rRNA from 1 species